UUGACGGUACCCUACUAGAAAGGAGCCGCUAACUUCGUGCCAGAAGCGUCGGUAAUACGGGGGCUCCAAGCGUUAUCCGGUGUUAUUGGGCGUAAAGAGUCGUGUAGGUGGUUGGGUAAGUUAUCUUUCAAAUAUCUUUGCUUAACAAAGAGGAGGGGGAUAAUACUGCUCGACUAGAAUUUUCUCAAGGGAGAUCGGAACUGAGGGAGGAGUAGUGAAAUGCGUUGAUACCCUCGGGAACACCAGUGGCGUAGGCGGAUCUCUGGGAGAAGAUUGACACUGAGACACGAAAGCUAGGGGAGCGAAGCAGAUUAGAGACCUGCGUAGUCCUAGCCGUAAACGCAUGCUUGCUAGCUGCAUGAAUCUACCUUCGGGUGGUAUCGUGUGGCGAAGGUAACCCGUUAAGCAAGCCGCCUGGAAAGUACGGCCGCAAGGCUGAAAUUCAAAGGAAUUGGCGGGGAGGCACACAACCAGUGGAACAUGUGGUUUAAUUCGAGACUAACCGAAGAACCUCACCAGGGUUUGACAUGUAGCUGCACGUCUUAAGAAAUUAAGACUCUCUUGAAGGUGCUACACAGGUGCUGCAUGGCUGUCGUCAGCUCGUUCCGUGAGGAGUGCCCUUAAGUGGGACAACGAGCGCAACCCCUAUUACAUGUUAGAAAUGUCAUGUAAGACUGCCUUGCCAUUUGGCGGGGAGGAAGGAGGGGCAGACGUCAAGUCCGCAUGGUCCUUAUGCCCUGGGCUACACACAUGUUACAAUGAGUACGGCAAUGAGUCUGUCGCGAGCACGUAAGUGUAAGCUAAUCUCUUAAAUGUACUCUCAGUGGGGAUUGAGGUCUGCAACUCGACCUCAUGAACACGGAAUUGGUAGUAAUCGCGGGUCAGCUAUACCGCGGUGAAUACGUUCUUGCCUCUUGCACACACUGCCCGUCAAACCAGCAAAGU
rnacentral:rRNA from 1 species